CUGGUAUAAUAGUCUCUCCCUGGCAGUGUUGCUGUAUGGAUUCAGGGUGAUUUAAUGGCCUCAACAGAGCUCUGGAACAUUUGCGUAGCUGGCAGGGCAAGGCGAGGGACAGCCCAACGCAGGCAGGUCCUUGAAUUCCUGGUUAACACUGGUUUCCAAAAUUCGAGCCGGCCUGCGGUUUUUCCAGCACGCCUGAAAGCUGGGGACACUGCAUGCACCAGUGUUGGAGGCUGGGGUAGCCUUUGACCAGGAGUGGGACCAGGAGGUGAGGCCGGCUCUCAGGCGUCAACCAAAGGAUCCACUGAAUCUCCCUCCUCCCACUGCCAACAAAGGUACAAGUAGAUGUUGACACCCUCUCAGACAUGGAAGGAGACCCAUUUUUUUUCUUUUUCUAGUUCUGGAUAAAUGGCCUUAAACAAAAUAUGCAAACAGGCUCCUUGCCUCUCCCAAAGGCAGCCCACCACAGAAGCCCUGCCACAGCCCAAGGGGUUAGAUGCUGCCAGGAUCUGUUUCCGCCACAGAGCAGCUCUGUGCAGCACGUUCCUGCCAACCACCCCAAGUGCUUCAGGGCUUCCGAGGCAGUGACAGUGAGGGCAGCGGCACUUUUGGGUCACCGUGGGACAGGUCUCUGCCUCAGGACACGGAUUGACAAGCUCUCUGAGUGGGCCAGGAGCUCCUUAAUGUGAGCCAUGCCCAGCCCUGCCACCUUGGCCCCAUUCACCUCGAGGAUCUCAUCGCCCACCCCCAGCAGCCCUGAGUACAGCUUGGCCGUGCUCAUGUCAGCCAUCUCCUGCACGUAGAUCCCUGCAGAGGAAAACAGGAGAAUUUCAAUGACACCCAAAUCGAAGAAGUGCAUCUCUGGAAUGCUGACCAUGUUGGUGAGGUGCUGUUUGUGUGGCACAGGGAGGAGGUGCUCAUACCAAGCACUUCUCUGUGCUCAUGCACACACACACACACCCCUCAUUAUUCCACCUCACAACCACAACUGGCUUUAGACAUAGAUACAGUGCGCCUCCUGCAUGGUCUAACUCCAUUCCACUGUCUCUGCUUUUAAAGUGGAAAUGCUCCUAGUGCAAAUAACGCGUUAAACUGUUGUCAUUUAUUUAUACCUGACUGUGAGUGAGCUAAUAUUUUUCUGAGAUGAGCUUUUCUUGUAGAAUUGGGAGGAAAAUAGUUUUUAAAAAUUAGGAACCAUACCUACUCAGUGCCUGGCACUAGGAUCCAGUUGCUGCCUCAGGUCACCCACGCCCAGCGUAAAGGCCGGGGUGGUGGGAAGGUAUCAUCAGAAGAGCAAAAGUGGCUGAGCCACAUCCAAGCCUGGUUUGCUGCACUCUGUUGCCAAAGACUGACCCUGGCCUCAGUCUUACUCAGAUAUGGUUCCUCAAUUGGGAUGGGGAAGCAUCUGAGCAAAAAAACCCAGGAAAAAUAAAAAUUCUAGCCACA
rnacentral:antisense_RNA from 1 species